GCGGAUGUAGCCAAGUGGAUCAAGGCAGUGGAUUGUGAU
rnacentral:tRNA from 15 species